rnacentral:rRNA from 1 species
GUGUCAGCAGCCGCGGUAAAACGUAGGAGGCGAACGUUAUCCGGAUUUACUGGGCGUAAAGAGCGCGAAGGCGGUCUUGCAAGUCGGGCGUGAAAUCUCCCGGCUCAACUGGGAGGGGUCGUUCGAUACUGCAGGACUUGAGGACGGGAGAGGGGAGUGGAAUUCCCGGUGUAGCGGUGGAAUGCGCAGAGAUCGGGAGGAACACCAGUGGCGAAGGCGGCUCCCUGGCCCGGUCCUGACGCUCAAGCGCGAAAGCGUGGGGAGCGAACGGGAUUAGAUACCCCGGUAGUCCACGCCGUAAACGAUGGGUGCUAGGUGUUGGUGGUGUCGAUCCCAUCAGUGCCGAAGCUAACGCGAUAAGCACCCCGCCUGGGGACUACGGCCGCAAGGCUAAAACUCAAAUGAAUUGGCGGGG